UCUUUUCCUCUAUUUUCUCUUGCCUUUCUACUCCUGCUAGAGUUUGGCCAAAAUUCUAGGGUUAGUCUCUCUAGGCCUUCUCUUUCUAUAAUAUUUGAUAUUUUUUAUUUUGAUUUUGCAGUUUAUUUGAAGCUAGAAAUUGUUAAAACUUAAGAUGCUCGAAUAGACGCUUUCGCCAUUUAUCUUCUCCCGUACCACCGAAGUUGCUAUAAUAUUAGUAUAAGAUGGGUUCAUUAUACUGCAAGAGAGAUCACUGGGCAGCCCUGUUAUGUCUAGCUGAAAGCUAUUGGACUACCAAUAAUGUGCUUGCCAUUAGACCAUUCAAGACUAGCAAAGCCAGUUGAACCAGAUGGCAUAGAACUAGCUCUGAAUGUCACUGUAUAGCUUUUCUUCUCGUAUUGUGUACUGAAACUUAAUAUUGCUAGCUCAACUGACAUUUUCAUUGCUCAUGUCUGUGAAUACAAUGAAAUCUUGUAUGUUGCUGGUGCACCAACAUUUGUAAGGGUCCUUUUGUAUUUCACGAUGCUGCCCUCUAUGCCCAAGCCAAUUUCGAAGGGAACAGAGAAGGAUGGAUAGUUAAAAUCU